rnacentral:sRNA from 1 species
AGAGCAUGGCGAAAUGCUCGACGAUCGGACCAAGCGCGAGCGCCGGCAAGAACUGCAGCCCGCCAAGAAUGAGAAUGA